rnacentral:rRNA from 1 species
UAAUACGAAGGGUGCAAGCGUUACUCGGAAUUACUGGGCGUAAAGCGUGCGUAGGUGGUUGUUUAAGUCUGUCGUGAAAGCCCUGGGCUCAACCUGGGAAUUGCGAUGGAAACUGGGCAACUAGAGUGUGGCAGAGGAUAGUGGAAUUCCUGGUGUAGCAGUGAAAUGCGUAGAGAUCAGGAGGAACAUCCGUGGCGAAGGCGACUGUCUGGGCCAACACUGACACUGAGGCACGAAAGCGUGGGGAGCAAACAGGAUUAGAUACCCUGGUAGUCCACGCCCUAAACGAUGCGAACUGGAUGUUGGGUGCAAUUUGGCACGCAGUAUCGAAGCUAACGCGUUAAGUUCGCCGCCUGGGGAGUACGGUCGCAAGACUGAAACUUAAAUGAAUUGACGG